rnacentral:rRNA from 1 species
UAAGGGCGCACGGUGGAUGCCUUGGCACUAGAAGCCGAUGAAGGACGUUACUAACGACGAUAUGCUUUGGGGAGCUGUAAGUAAGCUUUGAUCCAGAGAUUUCCGAAUGGGGAAACCCAGCAUGAGUUAUGUCAUGUUAUCGAUAUGUGAAUACAUAGCAUAUCAGAAGGCACACCCGGAGAACUGAAACAUCUUAGUACCCGGAGGAAGAGAAAGAAAAUUCGAUUCCCUUAGUAGCGGCGAGCGAAACGGGAAGAGCCCAAACCAACAAGCUUGCUUGUUGGGGUUGUAGGACACUCUAUACGGAGUUACAAAGGACGACAUUAGACGAAUCAUCUGGAAAGAUGAAUCAAAGAAGGUAAUAAUCCUGUAGUCGAAAAUGUUGUCUCUCUUGAGUGGAUCCUGAGUACGACGGAGCACGUGAAAUUCCGUCGGAAUCUGGGAGGACCAUCUC